rnacentral:rRNA from 1 species
UCUGACACAGGUGCUGCAUGGCUGUCGUCAGCUCGUGUCGUGAGAUGUUGGGUUAAGUCCGUAACGAGCGCAACCCUUGUCCUUAGUUACCAGCACGUUAUGGUGGGCACUCUAAGGAGACUGCCGGUGACAAACCGGAGGAAGCGGGGAUGACGUCAAGUCAUCAUGGCCCUUACGGCCUGGGCUACACACGUGCUACAAUGGUCGGUACAAAGGGUUGCCAAGCCGCGAGGUGGAGCUAAUCCCAUAAAACCGAUCGUAGUCCGGAUCGCAGUCUGCAACUCGACUGCGUGAAGUCGGAAUCGCUAGUAAUCGUGAAUCAGAAUGUCACGGUGAAUACGUUCCCGGGCCUU